ACCUAGGUAGGCUAUCACGGUACCGGGCGGUUACCGUCGGACUGCCGGAGAAGGCGCCUGAGAGAUAGCGACUAUAUCCACGGUAGCAGCAGGCGCGAAACUUUCCCACUCGAGACUUUCGGAGGAGGUAAUGACCAGUUCCAUUGGUGCCUUUUGGUACUGUGGAUAGGGGUACGGUUUUCCACCGUACCGAAACCUAGCAGAGGGCCAGUCUGGUGCCAGCAGCUGCGGUAAUUCCAGCUCUGCGAGUUUGCUCCCAUAUUGUUGCAGUUAAAACGCCCGUAGUCUGAAUUGGCCAGCAAUGGUCGUACGUAUUUUUACGUUCACUGUGAACAAAUCAGGACGCUUAGAGUAUGGCCACAUGAAUGACUCAGCGCAGUAUGAAGUCUUUGUUUUCUUCCGAAAACAAGCUCAAUGAGAGCCAUCGGGGGUAGAUCUAUCUCAUGACGAGUGGUGGAAUACUUUGACUCAUGAGAGAGAAGCUGAGGCGAAGGCGUCUACCUAGAGGGUUUCUGUCGAUCAAGGGCGAGAGUAGGAGUAUCCAACAGGAUUAGAGACCCUGGUAGUUCCUACCUUAAACGAUGCCGACAGGAGUUUGUCAUUUGUUAAUGGCAGAAUCUUUGGAGAAAUCAUAGUUCUUGGGCUCUGGGGGAACUACGACCGCAAGGCUGAAACUUGAAGGAAUUGACGGAAGGGCACACCAGGGGUGGAGCCUGUGGCUUAAUUUGAAUCAACACGGGGAAACUUACCAGGACCAGAUGUUUUUUAUGACUGACAGGCUUCGGGUCUUUCAGGAUAUUGUUUUUGGUGGUGCAUGGCCGUUGGUGGUGCGUGGGUUGACCUGUCUAGCGUUGAUUCAGCUAACGAGCGAGAUUAUCGCCAAUUAUUUACUUUGCCGAAGUCCUUCGGUUAAAGUUCUAAUUGGGACUCCCUGCGAUUUUAGCAGGUGGAAGAGGGUAGCAAUAACAGGUCCGUGAUGCCCUUUAGAUGCUCUGGGCUGCACGCGUGCUACAAUGUUAGGAUCAAUAGGACUGCGAGCCUGAGAGGGUGCGCUACUCUUAUAAUCCCUAACGUAGUUGGGAUGACGUUUGUAAUCAGCGU
rnacentral:ncRNA from 1 species